rnacentral:sRNA from 1 species
AAUAGCCAGUGGUGUUUACAAUUAAUUGAUCACAACCAGUUACAGAUUCCUCUGUUCCUUCUCCACUCCCAUUGCUUCACUU